rnacentral:rRNA from 1 species
UUAGAGUUUGAUCCUGGCUCACAACGAACGCUGGCGGCAUGCCUAACACAUGCAAGUCGAACGAGACCUUCGGGUCUAGUGGCGCACGGGUGCGUAACGCGUGGGAAUCUGCCCUUGGGUUCGGGAUAACAGUUGGAAACGACUGCUAAUACCGGAUAAUGUCUUCGGACCAAAUAUUUAUCGCCAAAGGAUGAGCCCGCGUAAGAUUAGCUAGUUGGUGGGGUAAAAGCCUACCAAGGCGACUAUCUUUAGCUGGUCUGAAAGGAUGAUCAGCCACACUGGGACUGAGACCCGGCCCAGACUCCUACGGGAGGCAGCAGUGGGGAAUAUUGGACAAUGGGCGAAAGCCUGAUCCAGCAAUGCCGCGUGAGUGAUGAACGCCUUAGGGUUGUAAAGCUCUUUUACCCGGGAUGAUAAUGACAGUACCGGGAGAAUAACCCCCGGCUAACUCCGUGCCAGCAGCCGCGGUAAUACGGAGGGGGCUAGCGUUGUUCGGAAUUACUGGGCGUAAAGCGUACGUAGGCGUCUUUGUAAGUUAGAGGUGAAAGCCCGGGGCUCAACUCCGGAAUUGCCUUUAAGACUGCAUCGCUUGAAUCAUGGAGAGGUUAGUGAAUUUCCGAGUGUAGAGGUGAAAUUCAUAUAUAUUCGAGAAGACACCAGUGGCGAAGGC